GCUUCAUUCAAAUAUCUGCCCUAUCAACUUUCGAUGGUAGGAUAGUGGCCUACCAUGGUUUAACGGGUAACGGGGAAUAAGGGUUCGAUUCCGGAGAGGGAGCCUGAGAAACGGCUACCACAUCCAAGGAAGGCAGCAGGCGCGCAAAUUACCCAAUCCCGACCGGGGAGGUAGUGACAAUAAAUAACAAUAUAGGGCUCUUUUGGGUCUUAUAAUUGGAAUGAGUACAACUUAAAUCUCUUAACGAGGAACAAUUGGAGGGCAAGUCUGGUGCCAGCAGCCGCGGUAAUUCCAGCUCCAAUAGCGUAUAUUAAAGUUGUUGCAGUUAAAAAGCUCGUAGUUG
rnacentral:rRNA from 1 species